UACGUAGGUGGCAAGCGUUGUCCGGAUUUACUGGGCGUAAAGAGCGCGCAGGCGGCUGGUCAAGUCCGAUGUGAAAUCUCCCGGCUUAACUGGGAAACUGCAUCGGAAACUGAUCGGCUUGAAGGUGGGAGAGGGUAGUGGAAUUCCCGGUGUAGUGGUGAAAUGCGUAGAUAUCGGGAGGAACACCGGUGGCGAAGGCGGCUACCUGGCCCAACAUUGACGCUGAGACCCGAAAGCAUGGGGAUCAAACAGG
rnacentral:rRNA from 1 species